rnacentral:rRNA from 1 species
UACGUAGGGACCAAGCGUUGUUCGGAUUUACUGGGCGUAAAGGGCGCGUAGGCGGCAAUUCAAGUCAGUUGUGAAAUCUCCGAGCUUAACUCGGAACGGUCAACUGAUACUGCUUUGCUAGAGUACAGAAGGGGCAAUCGGAAUUCUUGGUGUAGCGGUGAAAUGCGUAGAGAUCGGGAGGAACACCAGAGGCGAAGGCGGCGACCUGGACAGGCACUGACACUCAACUACGAAAGCGUGGGGAGCAAACAGG